UAUGCUCCAUCACAUUUUAACUAUUGGAUGUGUGCCAAUUUUAUUGUUUUAUGUUUAUUUAAUUGUCCAUUUCUUCCUUUGUUUUAUUGACCUUUAUACUUAUUACUUCCAUUUUUAUUAUUUUAUGCUGCUUAUAAUUAAGAGUAUUUUGUCCAAGUCGACUCUCAUGACAUGAGACUCACCUUGUCAUCAAGCCAUUGAUCGUGCCUGGAUGGGCAAAAAGAAGAGCGGUCUUUUUUCCACGCUUGACUUGUUCGGACUGAUUUCCAACGUGUGGCAUUAUGGGGUUCUUCUAGUGGUACGCGAAAAAAAUCUCUGCCUAAGUACAAUUCAGGUGUGUUUACUUUUUUGUUUGCUUGUUAUUUCACACAUUUGUAUUAAUCUAUAAGAACUAUUUAUUUUUAAACAUUUGUUAAUUAAAUUUUUCAUUUACCUUUUGUGUAUAGUUGUGUAUAUUUUAGCUCACUGGGAAUGUUCAAACUACGCAUAAUGUUACAGUGGCUUACAAUAAUAUGAAAUAUACUCUUUAGGAAUAAAACCUGUGUCGUGUUAGAUGAACACAUACAAAGCGAGUGUGUUUUGAUGUUGGUCAUUGGAGAGCUACAGUAAGUGUUUUUUUAGGUGGUAGUUGGUGUAAAAGGUUUAAGAACCACUGCGCUAGGGCAUUGAGUGGAUCAAGAUUAGGAAGAGAAAGGUAAGGCACAGGGGAAACCAGCAGACCUCCGAUAGGGCGUUAACGUGAAUAGAGUGAAUGUGACACAUGAUAAUGUCAGAUGUUUGUUAUGUCAGAUGGUGGAGACCCCACUGAGUGUAGACUGUCAUGAGUCCUUUUUUUACUACGGCACUCAUCUCUAAUGUGGCCGCUUCUGUUUACAAAGCUGGAUAAUUGACCAAGACCAGACCUAGUCAUUCAUUUAUUGAUACAGCCAACCAUUUUCCAUCUAACAAUCUAUUCAUCAAGUUAUUAAUCCAUCGUCAUCCAUGUAUCAAACCAUGCAUCCAACACCAAAACAUUCAUUCAGCCAUCCAUCUACAAAUUGUAAUAAUCCAUGGACCAAUCCAUCCAUCCAUUCAUUUAUCCACACAACCAUUUUUCCGUCCAACGAUCAUUCCAUCAUCCAUCCAUUUAGCUAGCCGAUCCAUCAACCAUCCACUCAAUUGUUCAUUCAUUCAACCAUUCAUUCAUACCUUCAGCCCACAUUCUAUCCAUCCAUGCAUCCAUCCAUCCAGCUACCAACCAUCCAUUCAUCCAACAAGCAUUCAUCCAUCAUUGAACCAGUUCUCCAUCCAGAAAGCCAAUCAUCGAUUCAUUCGUUCAUCCAUCCAUGCAGCCAUCCCACAUUACAUCCAUCCAUCCAUGAAUCAUCCAUCCAUCCAUAUAGGACAGUUUACAUCCAUAGGUCAGUGAACAAUUUCAACCUUACCUAACACAUGACCUGUUCAGUUGAUAAAGGUUUUAAAAUGGAAUGAUUUAUGGUAAAUACAUUCAUCGCAAUGGUAAAUUUAGUUAUUUAGUUAGUUAGUUGACUGAAUGGAACAGCUGGUGGUGGACCUGUCCAAACUGCAUUUGGGGUCUUUACAGUCAGAUUCUUUAUGAUGAUCUCCACAUGAAGUGCACCAGAAUGCUUGGGACGUGAACUGAUGGCGGGUAAAGGGGCGACUCAACCUUUUCCGUGCCGCUGAUAACGAGGGUGACCAAUGAAGCGGCACAUGUGACGGACGCGCUCUCACAGGACCAGUCCUGGUCACGCAUCACAUGACCAUACAGUACAGUCAAGGGGGCGGGAGAUCCCAGAAUCCCUUUCUUGUGACUUGACUGUGAGCUUCAGUUGCCGUGGUGACCCAUUGUCUUAGUACCACUACUUUUUUCCCCCCACUACUCCUGGGGCAUUGUUUAUCGUUUGCCCGCCUGCAGCAUGCACCUCACCGUCAAGGAGGAGCGCCUGGAACUGGGCCUGAAAGAUCUGGGAGCCGACAACGAGGCUUUUGGGGGCAAAAAGGCCGACGAGCAGCCAGCGGUGGACGUGGAGGCCCGGCAGCAGACCGCUGACUCGGGCGCCGACUUGAUCUACGUGCUCAACGACCGGCCGCCCUGGUACCUCUGCAUCCUGCUCGGAUUCCAGCAUUACGUCCUGGCGUUUGGUGGCAUCAUUGCCAUUCCGCUCAUCCUGGCUGAGCCGCUCUGCAUCGGUGACAACAACGCGGCCAAAAGCCAGCUCAUCUGCACCAUCUUCUUUGUGUCCGGCCUCAGCACGCUGCUUCAGACGGGUAUUGGCAUCAGGCUGCCAAUCCUCCAGGGCGGCACCUUUAGCUUCAUCACUCCCACUCUCGCCAUCCUGGCACUACCCAAGUGGCAGUGUCCGCCCCUGCAAGGGCCCGCCAUGUUGUCUGGGCACAACGGCACCAGCCCAUUGCAGAUGAUGGAAAGCGGCGACGAGGUGUGGAUGUCACGAAUGCGCGAGAUCCAGGGAGCCAUCUUGGUGUCGUCGCUGGUCCAGAUCAUGCUGGGCUUGACUGGCCUGGUGGGCUUCGUGCUCCGAUACAUCGGACCACUGGCCAUCGCGCCGACAAUCAACCUCAUCGGCCUCUCACUGUUCGCAGAGGCCGGCAAGAAGUCGGGCGGUCACUGGGGGAUCGCUGCUCUCACUGUGUGCCUCAUCCUGCUGUUCUCGCAGUACCUGAGCAGAGUGGACGUGCCGCUGAUUGCCUACAAGGACAAGAAGUGGACAGUGUUCCACUACCCUCUCUUCAAGCUCUUCUCGGCCUUGUUCGGAAUGUGCGGCGGCUGGCUGGUCUGUUUCCUUUUGACCGUUUUCGACGUGCUGCCAUCCAAGUCGGACAAGUACGGCUUCUCGGCGAGGACCGACAUCAACUUGGACGCCGUCGCCAACUCGCCCUGGUUCAACAUUCCCUAUCCAGGUCAGUGGGGCUUGCCCACCGUCAGCAUGUCGUCGGUGUUGGGCAUGAUGGCGGGAGUGUUGGCCUCUACCAUGGAGUCCAUCGGCGACUACUAUGCCUGUGCCCGUUUAUCGGGCGCGCCGCCGCCACCGACUCACGCCAUCAACCGCGGCAUCGCCGUGGAGGGCAUCGGCUGCAUCUUGGCUGGCCUGUGGGGGACGGGCAAUGGGACCACCUCCUACAGUCAGAACAUCGCCGCGCUCGGUCUCACCAAGGUUGGUAGCAGACUGGUACUGCAGACAACUGGAAUUCUUAUGAUUGUCCUGGGAAUCUUCGGGAAGUUUGGCGCUAUCUUUAUUACCAUUCCGGAUCCAGUUAUCGGAGGCAUGUUUCUGAUUAUGUUUGGAAUGAUCGCCGCUGUGGGAAUAUCGAACCUACAGUAUGUGGACCUCAACUCGUCUCGUAACCUGCUCAUCCUCGGCUUCUCCACGUUCAACGGUCUUGUGUUGCCAACGUGGUUUCACUCCAACCCAGGCAUCAUCGACACAGGGCCGGAACACAAGGGUAUGAAGGAGUAUGUGGAAGAAUCACUGGCAGCCGGGUUCAUUCGCCCAUCUUCAUCUCCUGUGGGAGCAGGAUUUUUCUUUGUGGACAAAAAGGACAAGACCCUGCGACCCUGUAUCGAUUACCGGGGUCUCGACGAGAUAACUGUGAAAAACAGCCCCAGAAUCCAAAGUUCCAGCUGCAUUAACCUUGGUGAGACGCUGCAGGAGGGACCUGGGAGCGAGCCCGCCAGAUGCUGCUACGCCAAGGCCGGUCCUACAAAACCGCAGCUGACCGUAGGGGGUCACCGGCUACUACAAAGUGUGUCAGCGAGUUUGGCUCUCCACCAAGCAUAUUCCACUCCGGGUGGAGUCCAGGAAGCUCGCUCCCAGAUAUGCCCAGCGCUUCUUAAAACGCAUAUCAGAGCAUCCGACACGGAUGCUCUGAUAUGCAUCAGACACGGCAUCUGACACCGUGUUGACCUUUGGAGAGAGAGGCAUUGCCAACAUGGACGGGGAGACGCUUCAGCGUGACGACUCCGAGAUUUGGAGCCAAAGUGCGACGCCACUGCCGGAGAUGAAAGGGGCGCUGACAUAAGAAGUUGAUCCUGGUAUCUUCUGAGGAAAGUGCUAAUCCGCGGUGGGACCGGUCUGCCGGUCUCGGGACUAGGCCGCUUAGCUUCCCCAAUCCUCUUGGCGCUGCCGGCCCCGCGUGUCAUCGGCUGUAAUCUGCCCGGCUGAGAUAAACAACGCUCGCCGCAGGAGGGCCCCGCGGCUCGCUCCCUUGCUCGACUGUCGCUCGCCCGCCCGCCAGACGACUUGAGACGAGGUCAUGAACUUUUGACCUGCGUGCUGGACCUGAAGCAACGCUUCCGCAUAGUCACUGCUACACUUGCACAGUUGACCGCACUGGAGUCAAAGAGCUAGACCAGAUCAUUGUGGUGCUCUUCACCACGCACAUGUUCAUCGGCGGCUUCUUCGGCUUCAUCCUGGACAACACCAUUCCAGGCAGCACUGAGGAGCGAGGCCUCCGCAAGUGGCAGCAGACAGCAA